rnacentral:lncRNA from 1 species
UCCUUUAGUAUUUCUUAAAUACUUAAGGACUCACUUGACAGUUGCCAUGGUUCUGAUCCUGGGCUUGCACUAAUAUCGUCUAGUACCGUUCUAGGUACAACUCAUAUCAAUGUUUUUCAUACAAUAUGAAAUACAUAAAUCCCCUUUAUGCAUACGCAUAAAAUAUUCUAUUUACGCAUUAUUUCUUUGGGAGUCAAAGAGUACGUUCUCUUUGAGAAGAGCAACUUCUUAGUCUCACUAGAGUUGUCCUUCUAAUUGAAGUUUAUCAUCAUAUAAGAAACUUCCUAGCAUCUAUUGUCUAUUAUUAGGGAUUGAUAUAAUCCAAUUAUAUCAUGAAAUAUAU